GAUGAACGCUAGCGGCAGGCCUAAUACAUGCAAGCCGAACGGCAAGUUUGAUAGCAAUAUUGGACCUAGAGUGGCGCAAGGGUGCGUAACACGUAUGCAACCUGCCCGCGACAGGAGGAUAGCUCCCCGAAAGGGGAAUUAACCCUCCAUAACACCAUGAGAAGGCAUCUGAUUAUGGUUAAACCGCAAGGGGUCGCGGAUGGGCAUGCGGUUGAUUAGUGAGUUGGCGGGGUAAAGGCACACCAAGGCGGAGAUCAAUAGGGGUUGUGAGAGGAAGGACACUGACACUGGGACUGGGAUACGAGCCAGACGCGUACGGGAGGCAGGAGUAGUGAAUAAUGGACAAUAGUUGCAAGACUGAUCCAGCCAGGGCGCGUGCAAGAAGAAGGGCUUGUGGGUCGUAAACUGCUUUUAACUGUGGAUAAAAUAGCAGUGCGCGGGGAAUUGAAGGUAACAGGGGAAUAAGCCACGGCUAACUACGUG
rnacentral:rRNA from 1 species